rnacentral:rRNA from 1 species
AGGGAAUCUUCCGCAAUGGACGAAAGUCUGACGGAGCAACGCCGCGUGAGUGAUGAAGGUUUUCGGAUCGUAAAGCUCUGUUGCCAGGGAAGAACGUCCGUUAGAGUAACUGCUAACGGAGUGACGGUACCUGAGAAGAAAGCCCCGGCUAACUACGUGCCAGCAGCCGCGGUAAUACGUAGGGGGCGAGCGUUGUCCGGAAUUAUUGGGCGUAAAGCGCGCGCAGGCGGCUGUUAAGUCUGGUGUUUAAGCCUGGGGCUCAACCCUAGGUCGCACUGGAAACUGGACAGCUUGAGUGCAGAAGAGGAGAGUGGAAUUCCACGUGUAGCGGUGAAAUGCGUAGAGAUGUGGAGGAACACCAGUGGCGAAGGCGGCUCUCUGGGCUGUAACUGACGCUGAGGCGCGAAAGCGUGGGGAGCAAAC